GAGUUUGAUCAUGGCUCAGGACGAACGCUGGCGGCGUGCUUAACACAUGCAAGUCGAACGGUGACGACGGAGCUUGCUCUGUCUGAUCAGUGGCGAACGGGUGAGUAACACGUGAGUAACCUGCCCCCGACUCUGGAAUAACCGUGGGAAACGACGGCUAAUACCGGAUAUGAGACGCACAGGCAUCUGUGUGUCUGGAAAGAUUUAUCGGUCAGGGAUGGACUCGCGGCCUAUCAGCUUGUUGGUGGGGUAAUGGCCCACCAAGGCGACGACGGGUAGCCGGCCUGAGAGGGCGACCGGCCACACUGGGACUGAGAUACGGCCCAGACUCCUACGGGAGGCAGCAGUGGGGAAUAUUGCACAAUGGGCGCAAGCCUGAUGCAGCGACGCCGCGUGAGGGAUGAAGGCCUUCGGUUGUAA
rnacentral:rRNA from 1 species